AUUGAACGCUGGCGGCAUGCCUUACACAUGCAAGUCGAACGGCAGCACGGGGGGCAACCCUGGUGGCGAGUGGCGAACGGGUGAGUAAUACAUCGGAACGUAUCCUGUAGCGGGGGAUAACCUCUCGAAAGAGAGGCUAAUACCGCAUACGACCUACGGGUGAAAGAGGGGGAUCGCAAGACCUCUCACUAUUGGAGCGGCCGAUGUCGGAUUAGCUAGUUGGUGGGGUAAAAGCCACCAAGGCUACGAUCCGUAGCUGGUCUGAGAGGACGACCAGCCACACUGGAACUGAGACACGGGUCCAGACUCCUA
rnacentral:rRNA from 1 species